UACGUAGGGCGCAAGCGUUAUCCGGAAUUAUUGGGCGUAAAGAGCUCGUAGGCGGUUUGUCGCGUCUGCCGUGAAAGUCCGGGGCUCAACUCCGGAUCUGCGGUGGGUACGGGCAGACUAGAGUGAUGUAGGGGCGAAUGGAAUUCCCGGUGUAGUGGUGAAAUGCGUAGAUAUCGGGAGGAACACCAGUGGCGAAGGCGACUUCCUGGCCUGUUCUUGACGCUGAGGCGCGAAAGCUAGGGGAGCAAACGGG
rnacentral:rRNA from 1 species